GGAUGUGAGGGUGAUCUGGCUGCAAUAUCUGUCACCCCAUUGAUCGCCAGGGUUGAUUCAGCUGAUCUGGCUGGCUAGGUGGUGUCCCCUUCCUCCCUCACUGCUCCAUGUGCGUCCCUCCCAAAGCUGCAUGCUGGGUCAAAGAGGACAACCAUCCCUGAUGGAGGAGGAUGGGUCUUCGGUCAAGGGUAUAGGAGUAACAAGAGUAACUGCGUUCCCCUGCUAGAACCUCCAAACAAGCUCUCGAGAAAUGAAUCUCUUAACAAAUUCAGUGGCAUGUUUUUCAUCCGAUUAAUUCAUGUAUAGCAGGUCUUU
rnacentral:snRNA from 10 species